GUCCCCAUCGUCUAGUUGGCCCAGGACGGCGGCUUUUCACGCCGCUAACAGGGGUUCGAAUCCCCUUGGGGACG
rnacentral:tRNA from 1 species